AUUGAACGCUGGCGGCAGGCCUAACACAUGCAAGUCGAACGGGUGGCGGACGGGUGAGUAAUGUAUGGGCAACUGCCUGAUGGAGGGGGAUAACUACUGGAAACGGUAGCUAAUACCGCAUACGAUCAGAUGUGCCCAGGUGGGAUUAGCUAGUUGGUGGGGUAACGGCUCACAAAGGCGACGAUCCCUAGCUGGUCUGAGAGGAAGACCGGCAACACUGGGACUGAGACACGGUCCAGACUCCUACGGGAGGCAGCAGUGGGGAAUAUUGGACAAUGGGCGCAAGCCUGAUGCAGCCAUGCCGCGUGUAUGAAGAAGGCCUUCGGGUUGUAAAGUACUUUCAGCGGGGAGGCGUUACCCGAAGAAGAAGCACCGGCUAACUCCGUGCCAGCAGCCGCGGUAAUUC
rnacentral:rRNA from 1 species